rnacentral:rRNA from 1 species
ACCAAGGCGACGAUCAGUAGCUGGUCUGAGAGGAUGAUCAGCCACACUGGAACUGAGACACGGUCCAGACUCCUACGGGAGGCAGCAGUGGGGAAUUUUCCGCAAUGGGCGAAAGCCUGACGGAGCAAUACCGCGUGAGGGAGGAAGGCUCUUGGGUUGUAAACCUCUUUUCUCAGGGAAUAAGCAAGUGAAGGUACCUGAGGAAUCAGCAUCGGCUAACUCCGUGCCAGCAGCCGCGGUAAUACGGAGGAUGCAAGCGUUAUCCGGAAUGAUUGGGCGUAAAGCGUCCGUAGGUGGCUGUGUGUGUCUAUUGUUAAAGAGUUUGGCUCAACCAAAUAAGGGCGGUAGAAACUACACAGCUAGAGUGCGUUCGGGGCAGAGGGAAUUCCUGGUGUAGCGGUGAAAUGCGUAGAGAUCAGGAAGAACACCGGUGGCGAAAGCGCUCUGCUAGGCCGCAACUGACACUGAGGGACGAAAGCUAGGGGAGCGAAUGGGAUUAGAUACCCCAGUAGUCCUAGCCGUAAACGAUGGAUACUAGGCGUUGAGAGUAUCGACCCUCUCAGUGCCGUAGCUAACGCGUUAAGUAUCCCGCCUGGGGAGUACGCACGCAAGUGUGAAACUCAAAGGAAUUGACGGGGGCCCGCACAAGCGGUGGAGUAUGUGGUUUAAUUCGAUGCAACGCGAAGAACCUUACCAGGGCUUGACAUGUCUGGAACUCUGGGGAAACUCGGAGUUGCCUUCGGGAGCCAGAACACAGGUGGUGCAUGGGCUGUCGUCAGCUCGUGUCGUGAGAUGUUGGGUUAAGUCCCGCAACGAGCGCAACCCUCGUACUAUAGUGUGCCAGCAUUUCCGGAUGGGCACUCUAAGGAGACUGCCGGUGACAAACCGGAGGAAGGUGGGGAUGACGUCAAGUCAGCUAUGCCGCCUUACCGUCCUGUGGCUACACACGUACUACAAUGCUACGGACAAAGGGCAGCGAGACUGCGAAGUCAAGCAAAUCUCAGAAACCGUGGCUCAGUUCAGAUCGCAGGCUGCAACUCGCCUGCGUGAAGGAGGAAUCGCUAGUAAUUGCAGGUCAGCAUAC